UACUGUAUAUCUGACUCUGGGGAGCAUAACCAACUCUCGCAUAUUUUCUUCAUUAGUGGCUACAAAGAAACUACAAGCAUUGGCAGUAUUCCCCUUUGAGGAUGACAGCAGCAAUACAGCGACGCUGCUGGGUCCAGACAUGAAGUCAGGUGCUGCUUGCUGCUGGAGAUCUGGGAUCCAGAGGUCUAGAGGAGGCAAUCACUCAGUUAGCAAGAUGAAUGGUACAAAUAAAGGACCAUUAGCCGAAAUAUCAGAUCACUUCACUUUAAAGAGACACAAACGUGAACAAUCAUUCAGCUAAUAAGGAUGAGUGUGUUAACAGCACCAUUGUCAAGUAUGCUGGUGACUCGGCAAUCAUCCAGCGAGAAUUGAUGAGGUCAUGUUUUCUCUGAAUCAUCAUCACCAUGAUGUCUAUGCUGCUGGUGAAAAUUGUGUGCAUUCUUUCAUUGCGUAUAUCUGCAAAACUGCUUGACAACAUGGACAGCAGUUGUGUGAAUACUCCCUUACUGUACAUGGCUUAUGCAGGAAUGACCUUCUCAAACAAAUUCUACAUGUCUGAUCGUCAAAACAUGCAUAAUGCACUAUACUAUACAAUCACUUAUUUAUACUGUAUGUUCCACUUUCCACGCAUGCAAGAUAUGCAAGUUAUGCCAUGCCAACAGGCGUAGUACUCACUCUCCAUCAGCCAAAUCCACCUACAGUAUCAUGGUACAUUUUUAGUCUAAAUUGAAUGCCAUUUGAGGAGGAUGUUGGAUUGUUUUUAUUGUAUUCUCUUACUGUCAUGAAUCAAUAAUAUAUCUACAAAGUAUUAUUU